UGAGUAACGCGUAAGAAGUUAUUCUUGCAAGGAGAACAACAGCUGAAAACGGCUGCUAAUACCCGUAGGUUGAGGAGCAAAAGGAGGAAGCCGUCAGAGGAGAGGCUCACAUCUGAUUAGUUAAUUGAUAAGGCAAUAGUUUACCAAAUAAUGAUCAGUAGCUGAUUUGAGAGGAUGAUCAACUA
rnacentral:ncRNA from 1 species